AUUGAACGCUGGCGGCAGGCCUAACACAUGCAAGUCGAGCGCGAAAGCACUUCGGUGUGAGUAGAGCGGCGGACGGGUGAGUAACGCGUAGGAAUCUACCUAGUAGUGGGGGACAACUCGGGGAAACUCGAGCUAAUACCGCAUAAGCCCUACGGGGGAAAGCGGGGGACCUUCGGGCCUCGUGCUAUUAGAUGAGCCUGCGUUGGAUUAGCUAGUUGGUGGGGUAAAGGCCUACCAAGGCGACGAUCCAUAGCUGGUCUGAGAGGAUGAUCAGCCACACCGGGACUGAGACACGGCCCGGACUCCUACGGGAGGCAGCAGUGGGGAAUAUUGCGCAAUGGGCGAAAGCCUGACGCAGCCAUGCCGCGUGUGUGAAGAAGGCCUUCGGGUUGUAAAGCACUUUCAAUUGGGAGGAAAGGUUCACGGUUAAUAACCGUGAGCUGUGACGUUACCUUUAGAAGAAGCACCGGCUAACUCCGUGCCAGCAGCCGCGGUAAUACGGAGGGUGCGAGCGUUAAUCGGAAUUACUGGGCGUAAAGCGCGCGUAGGUGGUCUGUUAAGUCGGAUGUGAAAGCCCCGGGCUCAACCUGGGAACUGCAUUCGAUACUGGCAGACUAGAGUGCGAGAGAGGGAGGUAGAAUUCCAUGUGUAGCGGUGAAAUGCGUAGAUAUGUGGAGGAAUACCAGUGGCGAAGGCGGCCUCCUGGCUCGACACUGACACUGA
rnacentral:rRNA from 4 species